AACGAACGCUGGCGGCAUGCCUAACACAUGCAAGUCGAACGAGACCUUCGGGUCUAGUGGCGCACGGGUGCGUAACGCGUGGGAACCUGCCCUUAGGUUCGGAAUAACUCCCCGAAAGGGGUGCUAAUACCGGAUAAUGUCUUCGGACCAAAGAUUUAUCGCCUUUGGAUGGGCCCGCGUUGGAUUAGCUAGUUGGUAGGGUAAAAGCCUACCAAGGCGACGAUCCAUAGCUGGUCUGAGAGGAUGAUCAGCCACACUGGGACUGGGACACGGCCCAGACACCCAGGGAGGGGAGAAGUGGGGAUUGUGGAAAAAGGGGGGAAGGCUGAACCCAUCAGGGCCGGGAGAGUGUGAAAGGCGUGAGGGUUGAAAGGUUUUGUAACCGGGAAUGUAAGGGAGGGACCGGGGAAAAAAGGCACGGGCAACCCCGGG
rnacentral:rRNA from 1 species